UGAGUUGGUCGAGCUAUCGCUUAAUUUAUUAAGAGGAAAGUCCGGACUUCAAAGAGUAAAGUGCCAGUUAACGACUGGGGGACGUGAGUCUACGGCUAGUGCCACAGAAAAUAUACCGCCAUUUAUGGUAAGGGUGAAAAGGUAAGGUAAGAGCUUACCGCCUAA
rnacentral:RNase_P_RNA from 1 species